UCUGAGUGAGUGAGGCAGGGGCCACGGGCCAGGGAAUGCGGGCACCUCGAGAAGCUGAAAAAGACGAGGGAACAGACUGUCCCUAGAGCCUCCAGAAGG